rnacentral:snoRNA from 1 species
UAUAGAUGAUGUCUUCUCACAGUGUCUUCAGGUGCUCACCCUGGGCACUGCUGAGAAAGCCACUUGGCACAGCUGAUGCCAGAAG